GACGAACGCUGGCGGCGUGCUUAACACAUGCAAGUCGAACGGAAAGGCCCUGCUUUUGUGGGGUGCUCGAGUGGCGAACGGGUGAGUAACACGUGAGUAACCUGCCCUUGACUUUGGGAUAACUUCAGGAAACUGGGGCUAAUACCGGAUAGGAGCUCCUGCUGCAUGGAGGGGGUUGGAAAGUUUCGGCGGUUGGGGAUGGACUCGCGGCUUAUCAGCUUGUUGGUGGGGUAGUGGCUUACCAAGGCUUUGACGGGUAGCCGGCCUGGGAGGGUGGCCGGCCUCCUGAGGCCUGCGGUACGGCCCAGACUCCAACGGGGGGCAGCAGUGGGGAAUAUUGCACAGUGGGCGGAAGCCUGAUGCAGCAGCGCCGCGUGCGGGAUGACGGCCUUCGGGUUGUAAACCGCUUUCGCCUGUGACGAAGCGUGAGUGACGGUAAUGGGUAAAGAAGCACCGGCUAACUACGUG
rnacentral:rRNA from 1 species